AUGAGAGAAAUACACAUAAUUGGUGUAAUAUUAGCAGAGCAAGUGUUUCUCAGGAGCUCAUGGUGCACAGUGUGUUCAGUCGUACACACACACACACACACACAUACACACAAAGAGACACACACUCUCACAAGUGUUUGUCAGGAGCUCAUGGUGCACAGUGUGUUCAGUCGUACACACACACACACACACACAUACACACAAAGAGACACACACUCUCACAAGUGUUUGUCAGGAGCUCAUGGUGCACAGUGUGUUCAGUCGUACACACACACACACACACACAUACACACAAAGAGACACACACUCUCACAAGUGUUUGUCAGGAGCUCAUGGUGCACAGUGUGUUCAGUCGUACACACACACACACACACACAUACACACAAAGAGACACACACUCUCACAAGUGUUUGUCAGGAGCUCAUGGUGCACAGUGUGUUCAGUCGUACACACACACACACACACACAUACACACAAAGAGACACACACUCUCACAAGUGUUUGUCAGGAGCUCAUGGUGCACAGUGUGUUCAGUCGUACACACACACACACACACACAUACACACAAAGAGACACACACUCUCACAAGUGUUUGUCAGGAGCUCAUGGUGCACAGUGUGUUCAGUCGUACACACACACACACACACACAUACACACAAAGAGACACACACUCUCACAAGUGUUUGUCAGGAGCUCAUGGUGCACAGUGUGUUCAGUCGUACACACACACACACACACACAUACACACAAAGAGACACACACUCUCACAAGUGUUUGUCAGGAGCUCAUGGUGCACAGUGUGUUCAGUCGUACACACACACACACACACACAUACACACAAAGAGACACACACUCUCACAAGUGUUUGUCAGGAGCUCAUGGUGCACAGUGUGUUCAGUCGUACACACACACACACACACACAUACACACAAAGAGACACACACUCUCACAAGUGUUUGUCAGGAGCUCAUGGUGCACAGUGUGUUCAGUCGUACACACACACACACACACACAGAGACACACACUCUCACAAGUGUUUGUCAGGAGCUCAUGGUGCACAGUGUGUUCAGUCGUACACACACACACACACACACAGAGACACACACUCUCACAAGUGUUUGUCAGGAGCUCAUGGUGCACAGUGUGUUCAGUCGUACACACACACACACACACACAGAGACACACACUCUCACAAGUGUUUGUCAGGAGCUCAUGGUGCACAGUGUGUUCAGUCGUACACACACACACACACACACAGAGACACACACUCUCACAAGUGUUUGUCAGGAGCUCAUGGUGCACAGUGUGUUCAGUCGUACACACACACACACACACACAGAGACACACACUCUCACAAGUGUUUGUCAGGAGCUCAUGGUGCACAGUGUGUUCAGUCGUACACACACACACACACACACAGAGACACACACUCUCACAAGUGUUUGUCAGGAGCUCAAAAAAAGGGAGGUCAGUGCAUACUUGUGGCAGGACAGUGGUGCUGUUGGGCUGGUGUGGACGCACACUGACACUCGUCUGGACCGGAGUCACACUGGUUUUGUUGGGCUGCAGAGGCUGAGCGAGAGACUGCUGGCUGUUCAGGAGAGACAGACGCAACGCAGGGAGACUUUUCUACAAACACACACACACACACACACACACACACACACACACACACACAGGUUUGUUUUUGUGAAAGUGGGGACAUCCCAUAGGUGUAAUAGUUUUUAUACUGUACAAACUGUAUAUUCUAUCACCCUACACCAACCCUACACCUAA
ensembl:lncRNA